ACGAGCUGUGGUGUCUUAAAGUAAUCCUCUCCUCACUCCCUCGCCUCUGCCUGCUCCUCCAGGAGACACUUCUCUCUCUCCCGCCCGGCUACAGCAUGCAGCUCCCGGUCCGAGUCCUUCUGGUGCUAGGUCUGCUGCUGCUAUCCCAGGUCUUCGUGUCUGUCCACUGCCAAGAGGAGGAGGAGGGAAACCAGGAAGAGGAGCAGCUGCCCCAACAGGAGGAGCUGGAGAUGCAGCAGGUGGAGGAGGUGCAGCAGGUGGAGGAGGGGCAGCAGG